rnacentral:lncRNA from 1 species
AAUUUUUUUUCUAGGCAGAAGCAAUUCUACCAAUUUGUCAUCAAAAUUUAACUGUCGAUGCUGAAAUUAAAUUGGGACAUAUUGGAUUACACGAUAAUAACACUAUCCAAGAAUCCCACUUAGAAUUUGAAGAGUUAGAAGGUGCUAACUACGAUACGCCUCCCAGAUAUAGUACAUUAUUUUAAUGGAUAUAAUAUUGGAUAUUUAAGAUAUUUAAGAACUUACCCUUUUAUUGCAUUUACAUUAUAUUGUUAUUGUUGAAUAAAUAAUAAUAAUCGCUAAAUCGA